CAAUAGCGUAUAUUUAAGUUGUUGCAGUUAAAAAGCUCGUAGUUGGAUUUCGGAUGGGAUUUGCCGGUCCGUCGUUACGAUGUGCACUGGCCAGUCCUAUCUUGUUGUCGGGGACUAGCUCCUUGGAUUCACUUCCUGGGACUAGGAGCUGACGAGGUUACUUUGAGUAAAUUAGAGUGUUCAAAGCAAGCCUACGCUCUGAAUACAUUAGCAUGGAAUAACACGAUAGGGCUCUGGCUUAUCUUGUUGGUCUGUGAGACCAGAGUAAUGAUUAAGAGGGACAGUCGGGGACAUUCGUAUUUCAUCGUCAGAGGUGAAAUUCUUGGAUUUAUGAAAGACGAACUUCUGCGAAAGCAUUUGUCAAGGAUGUUUUCAUUAA
rnacentral:rRNA from 1 species